rnacentral:rRNA from 1 species
GACGAACGCUGGCGGCGUGCUUAACACAUGCAAGUCGAACGGUGAAGCUCCAGCUUGCUGGAGUGGAUCAGUGGCGAACGGGUGAGUAACACGUGAGUAACCUGCCCUUAACUCUGGGAUAAGCCUGGGAAACUGGGUCUAAUACCGGAUAGGAGCGUCCACCGCAUGGUGGGUGUUGGAAAGAUUUAUCGGUUUUGGAUGGACUCGCGGCCUAUCAGCUUGUUGGUGAGGUAAUGGCUCACCAAGGCGACGACGGGUAGCCGGCCUGAGAGGGUGACCGGCCACACUGGGACUGAGACACGGCCCAGACUCCUACGGGAGGCAGCAGUGGGGAAUAUUGCACAAUGGGCGCAAGCCUGAUGCAGCGACGCCGCGUGAGGGAUGACGGCCUUCGGGUUGUAAACCUCUUUCAGUAGGGAAGAAGCGAAAGUGACGGUACCUGCAGAAGAAGCACCGGCUAACUACGUG